GCUGAUAGCCAUGCCGCGUGUGUGAAGAAGGUUUGAGAUUAGUAAAGCACUUUAAGUUGGGAGAGGCCUUAGUUAAUACCUGCUGUUUUGACGUUACCAAAGAAAGGAGCACCGGCUAACUUCGUGCCAGCAGCCGCGGUAAUACGAAGGGUGCAAGCGUUAAUCGGAAUUACUGGGCCCAAAGCGAAGAAAAGGUGGUUCAGCAAGUUGGAUGUGAAAUCCCCGGGCUCAACCUGGGAACUGCAUCCAAAACUACUGAGCUAGAGACGGUAGAGGGUGGUGGAAUUUCCUGUGUAGCGGUGAAAUGCGUAGAUAUAGGAAGGAAC
rnacentral:rRNA from 1 species